rnacentral:lncRNA from 1 species
UAGAAGCAUUUCGCCUGACUCUGAUCGAACUUGAAUUUCUUGGUCUGACUAGGUUUGGGUGCCCCAGCACUUUACACCCUUAUUUUGUUCUUCUUAUUCUUCUUCCCUUUCUUAAAGGGUUAAUGUCCAGAAGAAGAUCCUCCCAUUACAUUCACCGAUUUUUUUUGGAGCUAGCGAUCCUUCUCAAAGUUUUACAAUAAUCCCAGCAAAUCGUGAUAAUUGAUCGCAGGCUUUAUCAUUCAAAAAUGAGUAAAGAAAGGGAG